UUAAUUUAUAGAAGUAAUUCAAUAUACAUGGCCCAUUUGGAAAUCCCAUGAAUUCGGUUUGGGUUGGAGGUAUUUGGAUGACAUAGGUUUUGGUAGAUUUGGUUCGGUUUUAUUUGUGGAUUUUGGAUUUUGGAUCUUAUUUAGAGAAUUUGGGUUUUGGAUCGUAUUUGUGGAUUUUGAGUUUUGGGUUCCAUUUGUGGAUUUUGGGUUUUUGGAUUAAGAAAUUCAUUCAUAUGGAUUUUU
rnacentral:lncRNA from 1 species